rnacentral:sRNA from 21 species
AUCAGACCGGCAGGGUCCUCCUCCUCCCUGACCCUGCCGGUCGCAUGCCACGGGCGCUUCUCCUCCUCCCUUGGAGCGCACGCGGACCACAGAGCGACGGGGCCUCCUCCUCCCUGCCCCGUCGCUCGCA